rnacentral:rRNA from 1 species
AUGAAGGCAACCGUCGAGUCUCACGCCCACGUCCUCAUCUUCUUCUCCACACCUAUGCGAGCGCCGGUGGUGGCUCAGAGCCGAUGGAGGAGCAGCGCUAGCAGUGGUACAGAGCCGACAGAGGAGAAGGUGUUGGUGGUGGUUUCGAUCCAUGAUCUGUCGUGUGCAGCGCCGCCUUCCAGGCCGGCUCCUGCCGCCGGGCCGUCCGCAUCGUCAUCUGUUCAACCGCCCCCAGGCUGGCGUCCUAGUCCGAACUACCGCGGAAAAAACCCUAUCUACAGGCCGCCGUCGACUCGUUCGGUUCCGCCUACGACAUCACCAGCACUGAGUCCUGCACCACCCAUCAGUGCUCCAUCUGCGGUUGCAUGGCGGCCUCCUCAUGAUCCUUGGACGGGGCUUGUUCAAGCAUGGCCCAUGCCCUGGUCCGCUCCGUCCACCCUCGGUGCUCCGCCGGCAUACUCAGGUGCCUGGCAACCCGGCCUUCGGCCGCCUACUGGUGCUCCCGGGGGGCGAGGAGAAGGUCCGCGAAGCGCACAUGACCUCGAGCCAGUCGCCGCCGCCACCUCUCCUCUACCUCUCUCCUCUCCUGAGCCCUUGAUGACCUCAAGCCAGUUGCCAGCCAUCUCCAUGGUCCUCAUGUCUGUUUUCUCCAGCGCGCCCUCAAGGCCGGAUGAUGCAGAGAUGUGCGAAGGAUCCAGAUGGUUGUCGUCGUCUUCUGUGUAUGAUGGACCCUCGGCGGCGCGAUGCCUGUCCGGCGUCACCAAUCAGAGAAGCUAG